UACAGAGGGCUCAAGCGUUGUUCGGAUUCAUUGGGCGUAAAGGGUGCGUAGGUGGCGGGGUUAGUCAGGUGUGAAAUCUCGGGGCUCAACCCCGAAACUGCACUUGAUACUGCCUUGCUAGAGUACUGGAGAGGAGAUUGGAAUUUACGGUGUAGCAGUGAAAUGCGUAGAUAUCGUAAGGAAGACCAGUGGCGAAGGCGAAUCUCUGGACAGUUCCUGACGCUGAGGCACGAAGGCCAGGGGAGCAAACGGG
rnacentral:rRNA from 1 species